CAUAGUGUACAUCUCUCAUCAGGUUUCUCAGAGCUGGCUGAGGUAUUUUUUUUAGAUUUAGAUGACUGAGAUGAAAGAUAAUCUUCUAAAGAUACUUCCCAUUAACCAUUGAGCCAAAUAAAAGUGCCGACAUUCUUAGUGACAAAAUAAAGGUUUCUGGCAAAACUUCACCUACUUUCACAGAAAAGAAGGUGAAGUCUGAAAGUGAGUAAGGCGUCAUGAGCUCUUGUAGUUGACCCAUGUGUCAGGAUGUGACUGUUGAAAGUGUUGCUGGAUCUUCUGUGUAGUUUGUAAUAUCUCCUGUUCUUUGGACUGCUAAUUCUGAUACAACCCAACUCCAUUAAGAAGAAAAAACUUUUAACUGGUAACUUUUUUUUCUCUCAGAGACAUAAAACAGAUAUAUAUUUUUCCUUUUCUUUUUUUUUUUUUUUGAGAUUCAACUCUGUGUUUAUUGUUAGCAGAUUUUAUAUGCAGCUCGGCAGCAUGCCCUCGACACUCUAAGCGACACUGCCUUUACCUGAUCUCAGUAGAAAUGUAUGACAAACAGAGUGCCUGUCCUCCGUAUGAGAAUGCAAUCUUUGAACUGUCUCCUUGACUGAGGUACAGGAUGACUUCAGACAUUUGUCGCCAUAGAAACACCUGUGCUGUCCUUUGUCAUCGCAGAGUCGCAUGUGCUGUCUGUUGUUGGUUGAUGCCACAUUAGAGUGAGAGAAACAAUUACUUUAUCUCCUGAGUUCACUCACUUACAAAGAAAUGAACAGAUUUUUAUGGUAGUUACAUUUUAAUGGAGAUAGACAGAAUAUCAACCAAAAAAACCCAACAAAAAACCCACAUUACAUAAAAGUUUGCAUGUAAAACAUGACUUAGUACUCGAUGGACAAACCCUUGCUGACAAGCACAGCGGUAAGACGUUACUUGUAGUUGGUCACCAGGUUUGCACACAUCUCAGGAGAGAUUUUGGCUCACUCCUCUUUACAGAAACUCUAAAUCCACUCAGUUUUCUUGGCCUCUGUUUGGCACUUUAAAGCUCAAUUUCAGCUUCAGUUCCCUCCACAGAUUUUCUCUAGGACUGAGGUCUGGAGACUAGCUAGGCCACUCCAUUCAUUUGUUGCCUUGCCGGUAUAUUUUGGGUCAUUGUCAUGCUGCAAGACUCAUCCACGAGCCA
ensembl:lncRNA